AACUAACGCAAUCAAAGUAACAGUUUCUGUACUUUAUUGGUAUGAGAAACUUCCAGAACUUUCAUAGUUCUAGGGAAAUUUUGGAACAAUAGCCUUCGGGCUG
rnacentral:misc_RNA from 2 species